rnacentral:rRNA from 1 species
GACAAACGCUGGCGGCGUGCUUAACACAUGCAAGUCGAACGGAAAGGCCCUGCUUUUGUGGGGUGCUCGAGUGGCGAACGGGUGAGUAACACGUGAGUAACCUGCCCUUGACUUUGGGAUAACUUCAGGAAACUGGGGCUAAUACCGGAUAGGAGCUCCUGCUGCAUGGUGGGGGUUGGAAAGUUUCGGCGGUUGGGGAUGGACUCGCGGCUUAUCAGCUUGUUGGUGGGGUAGUGGCUUACCAAGGCUUAGACGGGUAGCCGGCCUGAGAGGGUGACCGGCCACAUUGGGACUGAGAUACGGCCCAGACUCCUACGGGAGGCAGCAGUGGGGAAUAUUGCACAAUGGGCGGAAGCCUGAUGCAGCAACGCCGCGUGCGGGAUGACGGCCUUCGGGUUGUAAACCGCUUUCGCCUGUGACGAAGCGUGAGUGACGGUAAUGGGGAAAGAAGCACCGGCUAACUACGU